rnacentral:rRNA from 1 species
CCCUUGUCCUUAGUUACCAGCACGUAAUGGUGGGCACUCUAAGGAGACUGCCGGUGACAAACCGGAGGAAGGUGGGGAUGACGUCAAGUCAUCAUGGCCCUUACGGCCUGGGCUACACACGUGCUACAAUGGUCGGUACAAAGGGUUGCCAAGCCGCGAGGUGGAGCUAAUCCCAUAAAACCGAUCGUAGUCCGGAUCGCAGUCUGCAACUCGACUGCGUGAAGUCGGAAUCGCUAGUAAUCGCGAAUCAGAAUGUCGCGGUGAAUACGUUCCCGGGCCUU